AUUUGAACAGGCACUGAAGGUUGUGAGGUCAUAGACAGUGGUUGCCAGGGGAAGAGCAUUACAGUCAGAGAGAAUAGCAAGUGCAAAAGCUUGGAAGAAGAAAUGCGCUCACAGCACCUGUACAAGGAAGAAGCCCAACAUUUGAUAGGUCUCUGGAUCUUGGAAGCAACAUCCGUCACAUUUGGUUGCCUAUUCUGACUCAAUAACUGGAUAACUCACAAACCUAUCAUCUUUGAGUGGGCCCCUGAGCAAGCAAGGGAUAUUUAGCUUGUCUAGGUUACAGUGCAAGCAGCAUGGACCUUGGCUUUUAGGAUCCAGCGUAUCCUAAGAGCCCAAAACUGUUAUGGCUGGUCAGGAUGUUGUGUAAGGGCUACAGCAAGGCUCUACAGGAGAAUCACAGUUGAGAACCAUAAAAUUUUGGAGCAAAACUAUGUUCUCUUCAAGUAACUUUUCUUUUUCACUGAACACUUGAACAUGGCCCAUCAGAGACCUGAGCUGUUCCCCAUGAACUGGAAGCUGUCUGAUCCACUAAGCAAAAAUUCACAAUAUAUUGAGGAUUAUUCCAUCAUUAAGUGGAAGUGAUUUACAGGAGGUCUCGCUCCAGAAUGGUCUGAAAGCAAUGAGCUGAUCUCUCCAGCUGAGUUAUCUGGGUGUUGUGUCUUCACCUCAGAGUAGACAACUGAGACAUCCUGGAAUGGAAGAAAGAAGUGGAAACCAAGAAUGAGUGUGAGGCUACAGAUGACUGUGUUGAAUGCCUACGCCUGUAGACCAUGUCCUUGCAAGUGACCGAAAUCAUUAUCAAUCAGGUAAAACUGGAUGGGAGGAGCUGUGGGAGCUUGAUGCCAAUCAGAGGGAAACCUAGCAAUGAGGAAGGGGCACCUAACAACAGGUGGGGAUAAAAAGCAUCAAGUCGGAGAUUUCCCACCUCUGAGCUCCUCUGAUGGCACUUUUGUCCUCAGCACAGUUAUGUGUGUGUAACUUCUCCCUUAUGAGGCUAUAAAGCCCUGCAGGGCAGGAUCUGAGACAGUUUCAUUUUUGUACUCCCUAAAACUAACUCAUUUUCUUGACCAUGUAAGUGUGUGGGGAUGUCAAUUAAUAUUAACCAUUUAAACUCAAGUUUCAAUCAUAGUUUGAAAAACACUUGUAGACAUUGGAGGGAAAAUGUGAAACUAAAGGAGCUGGGAUCGAGGGUUAGAGAGAAGUGAAAGACCCCAGUUCGUGGAACCUCCAGGGAGCUAAGAUAAACCGAAACCCUUUAUAAAGUUUCAACUAAUUCACCUUCUUUCUUACCUGAAGAAAAGAGCAAGCGCACAGGGUUACUUCGCGGGGAGCCCUGGGCCUGGCAUCUGUACCGUCCAGAUUCCCGAACCUCGAGGGUGUUUCCUGGGGUUACGGUCAACUUUUCUCUCCAAUAGUGCAGAUGAUACCAUGUUGUUUUCUCUGUUGCAUAGAACUGAAAUCCAUUGCAAGUCAGAGUCACUCUCUCUCCUUUGAAGAAUGUGGUCCAUGGAGGAUGGACGGAAAUCACAGGUUUGUGUGCAGCUGCUGAGGAGGAAAGAGUAGUAGACCUGAGGUGGAGGUGCCUGCAGUCCCAGCUGCAGUGGCUUGUGUAGGUUACACUGGAGGACAUGGCUUGGGAGUUCCCUAAGAGGCCCCUGGAUGACUUCUGUUUCCCCAGGUUGCAGGUGAGCUGUGCUCACCUCCUCCAGGGUGCAGUGGCUGCUCAGCGGUCUAUAGCAGCAGAUUGGCCUUUCAGAGGGAGGGCAGCCCUGGCAGGAUCCACUCAGCAGUGAUAGAUAAUGGGAGGCUCACAAACCCUCUCACUUGUUUCAGUGAACCAAGUCCUCAGGUAGAUAGUUGGAAAUUGCGUUUCUCCUGGACUCUCACCUGAGAUCUUGGUGUUAUAGGGACCUCUUUAAGAUGAGUUCUUGUGUGUGAAGGGUACGAGAAAAUGCCAUCUCCAGGUUUGUCUCUUUGGCAUAUGGAUUAUUUUGAGCCAAAGGCCAUUGAGAAUCACCAGAAAUAGGAAAAGUUCUAAAAGCAAGGCACAAGUUUUCCUUUAUAAGCGAAAAGGGAAGUUUUCCCUUAUAAAGGAGAUUUCCUUUUGUAAAUGUGUCUCCCUCUCCCACACUAGGAAGAGGAAGACUCUUAACAACUUUCAUCGAUAGAGAAGGCAUUGACUUAAAUACGCAUAAAAACCCUUGUUUACCAUGUUUUUCCUAGUCAACCUGCCACAGCCUGCCUCUCCCACCCAGAAGCCCAAAACUCCUUUUCCUUUGUUUAGUCCAAGAUGAUAUACAGGUUGAGUAUACCUUAUUCAAAACACUUUGGAACAGAAGGGUUUUGGAGUUUGAGUUUUUUUCAGAUUUUGGAACAUAUGCAUAAACCAAAAAUCUGAAAUAUGAAAUGCUCCAAUGAGCAUUUCUUUUGAUCAUCAUGUCAGUGCUUAAAAACUUUCAGAUUCUGGAUUUCAGAUAUUUGGAAGAGGGAUAGUCAACCUGUGUAAAUCUCAAUCAUCUGGCUGCCUCCUUCAGCCAUUUUUUUCUUUGUAAAUUCCCCUG